UUCUCCUGAAGUGAAAGUGUUUCUCUUUCAGCUGAGACGCCGUUUUGUUGUUGUUGGGAGAAAAUAAUAAUAAAAACUCCAACUCCAGGCAGAACCGGUGAGAUUAAUGAAACCCAGCAUGGAGUGCUGAGUAAAAGAGUGUAAUUCAUUCAGUCCAAGAGAUCUGGGUCUUCAGAGAUCCGGGUCUUCAGGAAUCAGCAGUGAGUCCAUGAGCUGUGUGUCCAUACACUAAUAUUCAAAAAUGGAGAGCCGUGAUCUGGACACAGAUAAUGUGACCCCACCCUCAGAAAAGCGUAAACUCCAGAUGAAGAGAUCAGACUCUCCAGAACCCAGCUGUGUCUCCAUGAAGAGUGAUUGGUCUAUGGAUCCUCCUUUGGACUUUAACACUGGAAACCCCUCAUCUGUCCACAGUAAACUCCAGAUGAAGAGAUCAGACUCACCAGAACCCAGCUGUGUCUCCAUGAAGAGUGAUGGGUCUAUGAAUCCUCCUUUGUUCUUUAACAGUGGAAACCUCUCAUCUGUCCACAGUGUUUUACAGAAGGCAGGAGACAGAAGAGAAAAGAUCUUCAUCACAGAUACAGGGCAUGCCCCAGAAUCUGCUGCUGGAAAUGACGUCCGGAAAAAAAUCAGAUUAAAUCUGAUGAAGUUUCAGUGCUUAAAUGAAGUGAUAAUAAAGCAGGAAAACCGAGUGCUCCUGAAUGAGAUCUACACAGAGCUCUACAUCACAGAGGGAGACAGUGGAGACGUCAAUAAAGAACAUGAGGUGAGACAGAUCGAGGCAGCGUCCAGGAGAAAAACAACAGAGGAAACACCAAUCAAAUGCAACGACAUCUUUAAGCCCUUAUCUGAAGAAGACGAACCCAUCAGAACUGUAGUGACAAAGGGAGUGGCUGGUAUCGGAAAAACAGUCUCUGUGCAGAAGUUCAUUGUGGACUGGGCUGAAGGGAAAGCAAAUCAGGACGUCCCCCUCAUAUUUCCACUUCCUUUCAGAGAGCUGAAUCUGAUGGAGGACCAAAACCUGAGUCUGAUGGAGCUCCUUCAUGUCUAUUUUAAGGAAACCAAAGAAACAGAAAUGUCCGGGUUGGGAAAGGUUCUGUUCAUUUUUGAUGGAUUGGACGAGUGUCGUUUCCCUCUGGAUUUCCAGAACACAGUGAGUGUGUGUGAUGUAACUGAAUCAGCAUCAGUGCAUGUGCUGCUGAUAAACCUGAUCAAAGGGAAUCUGCUUCCCUCUGCUCUCAUCUGGAUCACCUCCCGACCAGCAGCAGCUGAUCAAAUCCCCUCUGAGUACGUCCACCGAGUCACAGAGGUACGAGGGUUCAAUGACCCUCAGAAGGAGGAGUACUUCAGGAAGAGGGUCAGUGAUCAGAGCCUGGCCGAGAACAUCAUCACACACCUGAAGUCAUUAAGAAGCCUCUACAUCAUGUGUCACAUCCCAGUCUUCUGCUGGAUUUCAGCCGCUGUUCUAGAGAGAAUGUUGGGUGAAGCAGAUAGUAGAAAGAUCCCCAAGACUCUGACUCAAAUGUACACACACUUCCUCAUCAUUCACACCAACACCAUCAGAGGAAAGUACUCAAAGAAGCAGGAGAGUGAUGAAGAAAUUCUUCUCAAACUGGGAAAACUGGCUUUUCAGCAGCUGGAGAAAGGCAACCUGAUCUUCUAUGAGGAAGACCUGAGAGAGUGUGGCAUUGAUGUGACAGAAGCAGUAGUGUACUCGGGUGUGUGUACGCAGAUCUUCAGAGAGGAGGUUGGGCUUCACCAGAGUAAAGUGUACUGCUUUGUUCAUCUGAGCGUUCAGGAGCAUCUCGCAGCUCUGUAUGUUCAUCUGACCUUCAUGAAGGAAAAGAGAAAUGUUCUUGAUCAGAGUCAGUCCAGUAAUUUGUGUUUUUGGUCCUUUAAGACAAUUUCAGAUGUACACAAGAUGGCUGUAGAUCAGACCUUAAAAAGUCAGACUGGACAUCUGGAUCUGUUCCUCCGCUUUCUUCUGGGUCUCUCACUGAAGUCCAAUCAGAAACUCUUACGUGCCUUAGUAACACAGACAGGAAGUAGCUCCUGGACAAGAAAGAGGAAAACAGUUCAGUACAUUAAGGAGAAGAUCAGUGAAAAUCUUCCUGCAGAAAAAUCCAUCAAUCUGUUCCACUGUCUGAAUGAACUGGGUGACGAUUCUCUAGUGGAGGAAAUCCAACGCUACGUAAAAUCUGGAAAACAAAGUAAAUUCUCUCCUUCACAGUGGUCUGCUCUGGUGUUUGUGUUACUGACUUCAGCACAGGAGCUGGAGGAGUUUGACCUGAGUAAAUAUACCAGUACAGAGAAGAUAACAGAUGAGGUUCUUGUGAAGGUGAUGCCUGUGAUUUCAGCAUCCAGAAAAGCAAUGAUCAGUUGUGAUACGAUCAAAGGGAGAAGCGCUGAAGCUCUGGUCUCAGUGCUCAACUCUGAAACCUCCAGUCUGAGAGAACUGCAUCUGACUGUGAAGACACUGGAUCUGUCUGGGAAUAAACUAGAAGACUCAGGAGUGAAGCGUCUCUGUGCUGUACUGGAGAAUCCUCACUGUGAAGUGGAGACAGUGAAGUUGCGAGGUUGUGGUGUCUCAGAUGAAGGCUGUGCUGCUCUGAGUUCAGCUCUGAGAUCAAACCCCUCACACCUGAGACAACUGGAUCUGUCUAAGAAUAAACUGGGAGAAUCAGGAGUGAAGCAUCUCUGUGCUGUACUGGAGAAUCCUCACUGUAAACUGGAGAUACUGGGGAUCAGUUGUGAUACGAUCAAAGGGAGAAGCGCUGAAGCUCUGGUCUCAGUGCUCAACUCCGAAACCUCCAGUCUGAGAGAACUGCAUCUGACUGUGAAGACACUGGAUCUGUCUGGGAAUAAACUAGAAGACUCAGGAGUGAAGCGUCUCUGUGCUGUACUGGAGAAUCCUCACUGUAAAGUGGAGACACUGAAGUUGUGGGGUUGUGGUGUCUCGGAUGAAGGCUGUGCUGCUCUGAGUUCAGCUCUGAGACCAAACCCCUCACACCUGAGAGAACUGGAUCUGACUAAUAAUAAUCUGGGAGACUCAGGAGUGAAGCGUCUCUGUGCUGUACUGGAGAAUCCUCACUGUAAACUGGAGAUACUGGGGAUCAGUUGUGAUACGAUCAAAGGGAGAAGCGCUGAAGCUCUGGUCUCAGUGCUCAACUCCAAAACCUCCAGUCUGAGAGAACUGCGUCUGACUGUGAAGACACUGGAUCUGACUAAUAAUAAACUAGAAGACUCAGGAGUGAAGCGUCUCUGUGCUGUACUGGAGAAUCCUCACUGUAAAGUGGAGACACUGAGGUUGUGGGGUUGUGGUGUCUCAGAUGAAGGCUGUGCUGCUCUGAGUUCAGCUCUGAGAUCAAACCCCUCACACCUGAGAGAACUGGAUCUGACUAAUAAUAAUCUGGGAGACUCGGGAGUGAAGCGUCUCUGUGCUGUACUGGAGAAUCCUCACUGUAAACUGGAGACACUGAAGUUGCGGGGUUGUGGUGUCUCGGAUGAAGGCUGUGCUGCUCUGAGUUCAGCUCUGAGAUCAAACCCCUCACACCUGAGAGAACUGGAUCUGACUAAUAAUAAUCUGGGAGACUCAGGAGUGAAGCGUCUCUGUGCUGUACUGGAGAAUCCUCACUGUAAACUGGAGACACUGGGGUUGUGGGGUUGUGGUGUCUCAGGUGAAGGCUGUGCUGCUCUGAGUUCAGCUCUGAGAUCAAACCCCUCACACCUGAGACAACUGGAUCUGUCCUUUAAUAAUCUGGGAGACUCAGGAGUGAAGCAUCUCUGUGCUGUACUGGAGAAUCCUCACUGUAAACUGGAGACACUGGGGUUGUGUGGUUGUGGUGUCUCAGAUGAAGGCUGUGCUGCUCUGAGUUCAGCUCUGAGAUCAAACCCCUCACACCUGAGACAACUGAAUCUGACUGAGAAUAAUCUGGGAGACUCAGGAGUGAAGCGUCUCUGUGCUGUACUGGAGAAUCCUCACUGUAAACUGGAGACACUGUGGUUGUGGCACUGUGGUGUCUCAGAUGAAGGCUGUGCUGCUCUCGCUUCAGCUCUGAGAUCAAAUCCCUCACACCUGAGGGGCCUGGAUCUGAUUGGGAAUAAAAUAGGAUACUCAGGAAAGAAGCUGCUCUCUGCUCUUCAGGAUGAUAAACAUUACAAACUACAGGAACUCUGGAUCAGUUGUGAUACGAUCAAAGGGAGAAGCGCUGAAGCUCUGGUCUCAGUGCUCAACUCAGAAACCUCCAGUCUGAGAGAACUGCAUCUGACUGUGAAGACACUGGAUCUGUCUGGGAAUAAACUAGAAGACUCAGGAGUGAAGCGUCUCUGUGCUGUACUGGAGAAUCCUCACUGUAAAGUGGAGACACUGGGGUUGUGGGGUUGUGGUGUCUCAGAUGAAGGCUGUGCUGCUCUGAGUUCAGCUCUGAGAUCAAACCCCUCACACCUGAGAGAACUGGAUCUGUCUAAGAAUAAUCUGGGAGACUCAGGAGUGAAGCGUCUCUGUGCUGUACUGGAGAAUCCUCACUGUAAACUGGAGAUACUGGGGAUCAGUUGUGAUACGAUCAAAGGGAGAAGCGCUGAAGCUCUGGUCUCAGUGCUCAACUCAGAAACCUCCAGUCUGAGAGAACUGCAUCUGACUGUGAAGACACUGGAUCUGUCUGGGAAUAAACUAGAAGACUCAGGAGUGAAGCGUCUCUGUGCUGUACUGGAGAAUCCUCACUGUAAAGUGGAGACACUGGGGUUGCGGGGCUGUGGUGUCUCAGAUGAAGGCUGUGCUGCUCUGAGUUCAGCUCUGAGAUUAAACCCCUCAUACCUGAGAGAACUGGAUCUGUCUAAGAAUCAUCUGGGAGACUCAGGAGUGAAGCGUCUCUGUGCUGUACUGGAGAAUCCUCACUGUAAACUGGAAAAACUGAGGUUGUGUGGUUGUGGUGUCUCGGAUGAAGGCUGUGCUGCUCUGAGUUCAGCUCUGAGAUCAAACCCCUCACACCUGAGACAACUGGAUCUGUCUAAGAAUAAUCUGGGAGACUCAGGAGUGAAGCAUCUCUGUGCUAUACUGGAGAAUCCUCACUGUAAACUGGAGACACUGGGGUUGUGGGGUUGUGGUGUCUCAGAUGAAGGCUGUGCUGCUCUGAGAUCAGCUCUGAGAUCAAACCCCUCACACCUGAGAGAACUGGAUCUGUCUAAGAAUAAACUGGGAGACUCAGGAGUGAAGCGUCUCUAUGCUGUACUGGAGAAUCCUCACUGUAAACUGGAGAUACUGGGGAUCAGUUGUGAUACGAUCAAAGGGAGAAGCGCUGAAGCUCUGGUCUCAGUGCUCAACUCAGAAACCUCCAGUCUGAGAGAACUGCAUCUGACUGUGAAGACACUGGAUCUGUCUGGGAAUAAACUAGAAGACUCAGGAGUGAAGCGUCUCUGUGCUGUACUGGAGAAUCCUCACUGUAAAGUGGAGACACUGAGGUUGCGGGGUUGUGGUGUCUCAGAUGAAGGCUGUGCUGCUCUGAGUUCAGCUCUGAGAUCAAACCCCUCACACCUGAGAGAACUGGAUCUGUCUAAGAAUAAUCUGGGAGACUCAGGAGUGAAGCGUCUCUGUGCUGUACUGGAGAAUCCUCACUGUAAACUGGAGAUACUGGGGAUCAGUUGUGAUACGAUCAAAGGGAGAAGCGCUGAAGCUCUGGUCUCAGUGCUCAACUCCGAAACCUCCAGUCUGAGAGAACUGCAUCUGACUGUGAAGACACUGGAUCUGUCUGGGAAUAAACUAGAAGACUCAGGAGUGAAGCGUCUCUGUGCUGUACUGGAGAAUCCUCACUGUAAAGUGGAGACACUGGGGUUGCAGGGCUGUGGUGUCUCAGAUGAAGGCUGUGCUGCUCUGAGUUCAGCUCUGAGAUCAAACCCCUCACACCUGAGAGAACUGGAUCUGUCUAAGAAUAAUCUGGGAGACUCAGGAGUGAAGCGUCUCUGUACUGUACUGGAGAAUCCUCACUGUAAACUGGAAAAACUGAGGUUGCGGGGCUGUGGUGUCUCAGAUGAAGGCUGUGCUGCUCUGAGAUCAGCUCUGAGAUCAAACCCCUCACACCUGAGAGAACUGGAUCUGUCUAAGAAUAAACUGGGAGACUCAGGAGUGAAGCGUCUCUGUGCUGUACUGGAGAAUCCUCACUGUAAACUGGAGAUACUGGGGAUCAGUUGUGAUACGAUCAAAGGGAGAAGCGCUGAAGCUCUGGUCUCAGUGCUCAACUCCGAAACCUCCAGUCUGAGAGAACUGCAUCUGACUGUGAAGACACUGGAUCUGUCUGGGAAUAAACUAGAAGACUCAGGAGUGAAGCGUCUCUGUGCUGUACUGGAGAAUCCUCACUGUAAAGUGGAGACACUGGGGUUGUGGGGUUGUGGUGUCUCAGAUGAAGGCUGUGCUGCUCUGAGUUCAGCUCUGAGAUCAAACCCCUCACACCUGAGAGAACUGGAUCUGUCUAAGAAUAAUCUGGGAGACUCAGGAGUGAAGCGUCUCUGUGCUGUACUGGAGAAUCCUCACUGUAAACUGGAGAUACUGGGGAUCAGUUGUGAUACAAUUAAAGGGAGAAGCGCUGAAGCUCUGAUCUCAGUGCUCAACUCCGAAACCUUCAGUCUGAGAGAACUUCAUCUGACUGUGAAGACACUGGAUCUGUCUGGGAAUAAACUAGAAGACUCAGGAGUGAAGCGUCUCUGUGCUGUACUGGAGAAUCCUCACUGUAAAGUGGAGACACUGAAGUUGUGGCGUUGUGGUGUCUCAGAUGAAGGCUGUGCUGCUCUGAGAUCAGCUCUGAGAUCAAACCCCUCACACCUGAGAGAACUGGAUCUGUCUAAGAAUAAACUUGGAGACUCAGGAGUGAAGCGUCUCUGUGCUGUACUGGAGAAUCCUCACUGUAAACUGGAGACACUGGGGUUGUGUGGUUGUGGUGUCUCAGAUGAAGGCUGUGCUGCUCUGAGUUCAGCUCUGAGAUCAAACCCCUCACACCUGAGAGAACUGGGUCUGUCUAAGAAUAAUCUGGGAGACUCAGGAGUGAAGCGUCUCUGUGCUGGACUGGAGAAUCCUCACUGUAAACUGGAGACACUGAAGUUGUGGAGCUGUGGUGUCUCAGAUGAAGGCUGUGCUGCUCUGAGUUCAGCUCUGAGAUCAAACCCCUCACACCUGAGAGAACUGGAUCUGACUAAUAAUAAUCUGGGAGACUCAGGAGUGAAGCGUCUCUGUGCUGUACUGGAGAAUCCUCACUGUAAACUGGAGACACUGUGGUUGUCUAAUUGUAGUGUCUCAGAUGAAGGCUGUGCUGCUCUCGCUUCAGCUCUGAGAUCAAACCCCUCACACCUGAGAGAACUGGGUCUGAUUGGGAAUGACAUGGGAGACUCAGGAAAGAAGCUGCUCUCUGCUCUUCAGGAUGAUAAACAUUACGAACUACAGAUACUCUGGGUGUGGUGAACAUGUGUGUGUGAGAUGAAGACUCUGGUGUUCCUGCAUUUCCAUGUUGGGAAACAGACAACACCAUUCAUAAACACGUCAGUCGUUUAGUUCUAACAAAUGAAAGAGACUUGGAGACGUGGUCAGUGUGUGUUCAUGGUGCACAGUGAAUCAGACUGCACACAAUUCUACACUGAAUGUGGAACAACUUGUGAUCUGCAUGAAACUGCCUGGACCUCAGUCCCUUAAAAACCCUGAAAGAGCACGUGAAAAAGCACAGGGACUCGAGUUGAACCCAGUCAGUGGAAGAUGGAGCUGAAAUGGACAGGAACAGUUUGAGGACAUUGGUGGGAUUCUCACCUGACAGGAUCGGCAUUUGGGAAGUUAAUCUGAGGAAGCCCCGAGGAGACUCACUACAAGGCACAUUUAUCACUUUGUCCUUUGGUUGGUAUUUAAUAUACUCACUGAGCACUUUAUUAGGAACACCUGGAUGGAACCACCUUGUUGAUGAGAGGGUUCACCGGAGAACGGCCAGACUGGUUUAAGCUGACAGAAAGGCUACAGUAACUCAGAUAACCACUCUGUACAAUUGUGGUGAGCAGAAAAGCAUCUCAAAAUGCACAACACACUGAACACUGAGGUGGAUGACCACGUUGGGUUCCACUUCUGUCAGCCAAGAACAGAAAGCUGAGGCUGCAGUGGGCACAGGAUCACCACAACUGGACAGGUGAAGAGUGAAAAAACGUAGCCUGGUCUGAUGAACCUCGAUUUCUGGGAGGCUCACAGAUGGUGGCGUCAGAAUUUGGCACCGACAGCAUGAAUUAGUGUUCCUAAUAAUGUGCUCUGUGACUGUAGAUUAGAUCUUUUUGUUACAGGGUCAGACCAAAGCUGUUCAUUUUUGUUCUCUUCUAAACUUUUUUCCUCUAGAUUUUAAAGAAAUUAUAUACAGGGAUGAGAAUUUUCCGCCGAUUGGCGGAUUUCCGACUUUUUCAGACCAAAAUGAUCGUUUUUGAGAUUGAUGUAAAUCCGUUGAGAAUUUUUUUUUUUUUUUUUGGGGGGGGUAUGAUUAACGAUCUGUGGUCACCUUAUAACGCAGACAUCCCAAGUCUCCCGGAAGUUCCGGGAGUCUCCUGCAUAUUGAUAGAAGCGAGCAAGAGCGUGCGCGCGCAACAUUAAGGUCUGCAUCACGCAUCUUAGAGUGUGCGCGCGAGGGGGUGCGCGAGGGAGACUGUAUGCAGUGUUGCCAGAUACUGCUGACGUUUUCCAGCUCAAAAUAUGUUCAAAACCCCGCCAAAAUGCACUUAAAAGCACCCAAUCUAGCAACACUGCCUGUGUGCCUGUUCAUGUGUGCAUGCCAAACAAAGAGCAUCUUGAUUGGGUUACUCAGCAAAAUAAGCCAAUCAGCUUUCAGUGUGGGCGGGCUUUUAUCUCUUUUCUCGAGGACCGGAGUUUGUCAGUGCAGCCUACAGGAUCGGCAUGGCAGAGAGAGAGAGCGCGCGCCCCAAAAAAUAUAUAUCAAUUACACGUCAUAUAUAAGUGUGUAUCUUUUAUAAAUGGGGUUAGCUUAUCUAAUGUAGCAUGUUGGGGAGAAUCAUAGUAUCAUAUCUAUAUUUCUGAUAAAAUUUUAGGUAUGAUAGCAUGUAUAACUCUCCUACUUAUUGCUCAUUUCAUAGGGGGAAUUGCUGGUAUGUGCCGCGCGGGAGCGUCUGCCCACAUUUUUUAGGCCGAGAUGAACUUAUAAUUUUUGAUUUAAAAAAAAUUUCCAAUAUGUAAUGCCCAUUGUACAUGCCUGUUCUUUAAUUCAAAAUCACCAUCUCGAUCUUCAAAUUGACCAUAUGGUAUCUGUAUUACAUUACACAACAUCCUGUCCAGAUAAAACCUAGUUAGUCCACACAACAGUUGAAAGGGAAGUGAUAAGUGAUGUUGAAUGUUGCCUGCUUAAUAUGCAAGACCUCCUGCUACCACGAUAACAUCAGAAGAAAGCUUAAGAGAAUUAUAUGAUAGAACUUUUUUCUGGUUUGCACUUCAUUUUAAAGGAUUGGAGUAUUCAAAGAUGAAUCACAAAAAUGCAGAAAUAUAAUACUGUCGAGCUCGUUUAUAUUAAAAGGUGCAUUGAUUUUUUGAAAUCAUCAAAUGUGAAUUGAUUAAAAAAAAGUCUCUUGUACCAUAUUAAUCAUUUUCACCUGGGAGUCCACCAAGAAGGGGAAUUUAUUUCCAAAUAAAUUGCAAAUUUUUGCUGAUAAAAUUAAUGGUUUUGGGGUAAAAAAAAAAAGCCAAAAAUAAUUAGCCCCAUGGGCCCCGCCCCCCUCGUGCCCCGCCCCGGUUUUUUCAGACUUUUAAAAUAUUUUUCAUUCUCAUCCCUGUAUAUAAAUACCGCGUGAUUUAUUUUCUGUUGUAUAAAAUUAGUUUCUGUAUUUAAACUUUUUUUUUUUUUAGCAAAAAAAGCCAACAGUUAUUGAAAAUAAAUUUAUGCGCAACGCUUGGGUGUUAGUACUCGGACGGAAAAAUGGAUUUCCAUCAAAAUCAAAUCGCGAAACUUUCAUUUUCAGUAUCUGUGUAAUUUCUGAUUUAUUGUAAGUGUGAAGGCAGCCAUAGAAAGUAAUGGCUACCCUUUAUGUUCUUUUUGUUUUUACAUAUUAAAAUAUUGCACAUAUUUGAUAUUAAUUGAUUGUAUUAAACAUGUAAUGGACUUUAUUUAAAAGAGAAACAUUGUAAAGAUGAACAUUGUAAUGGUUUGAGUGGACUCAGUCUCCCAUGAUGCAUUUAUGUAUGUCACUUCCUGUGAAAUGUUUUGUUGGGGUAUCCGCUGGAGGGAAAGAUGGAUGUGGAAGAGCGAAACGGGGAGCGGCUUGGUGCACGAGGAAAGUGUUGUCGUUUGACUACGAAAAAAAGAGGGUGCUGGUGAAGGAGCUUGGAGCUGGCUGAGAUGAGUGGAGGAAGUGUCAUAAAGGCGGUUGGUGACAACUGGACUGGGAAUGGUCAGAAGUUUGCAAAGGGAAGUGAUGUUUCAGGAAGUUUCAGGCACAAUUAAACUGUUCACAUCCUGUGGCUCAGUCUUUCACCAAAGAGGUAAUUGUUCUGCCAGACCAUACAUCUGCACGUGU